GUCCAGGGAUGGGAACCGAACCCACAAUGUUCCACUUACCGGGCAGAUGCCAUGUCCACUAGGCUACCCUGGA
rnacentral:tRNA from 1 species